rnacentral:tRNA from 1 species
GCUGGGAUGGCGGAAUCGGUAGACGCGCUAGCUUCAGGAGCUAGUCCCGCUUAGCGGGAUGGGAGUUCGAGUCUCCCUCCCAGCACCA